rnacentral:lncRNA from 1 species
AUGGUGAGAGAGCCCAUGGGAUUGCAUCUCACGCGGAGGACGGUGUGUAAGGGGAACAUCACAAACAGCCAACACGCCCUGGAAAAUUCCUUGGGAAGCUGUCAUGUGGGGGCCAACUGCUAUCUCUCCAUAAAUCCGGUACGGCCAGUUUUUCCACCUGCGUUGGGACAGAUCACUAUUUCUCCUGUUAGGCUCCAGACGAAGCAGAGGUUUGUGUGUAGGGGUCACACAGCGAGCUGCAGUAGGCGUUGGACAGAGGCAGGGGCUGGGGCUGCGGAAGAGGGCUGUGAUCACCAGGUCCGGGAAGGAGGGAUUGUCUGGAAUAAAGACGGGCGACCGUGCUCUGCAAGGUGGAACCCCGGGGUGCCGGCAAGGCGCUCAUGGCUUGAGGGUGGGGUAAGGAUGCAGCCUCUCCGGCAGGCUGGCUCUCUCCUUAGCCUCGACAUUCCUUCCUGA